UUUGUUUCUCUCCUCUUCCGAAGCCAGACCGUCCUUGGUCUCCCGGCCCCGGGGCUGCAUCUCCGUGGGCACAAGUCUGCCUGGUUACCUGAGCUGCUUUUGCGGAGUCCCCGCCUCGGCUUCGCCUGGGGGCAGGUGCACCUGAACCCCGAGCGGCCAUCUGCCCAGCGCCCAAGAAGGACCUGCUCCGGAGCCCCGGCCGGGGCCGCUCACGGCUGAAAAGGGUGAAGCUGCACUAGUCCCGCGGUGGGACGGACAGCGAGGACACCAAGGACCGGGGACGGGGACUUAGCAGUACGUCCCGUGGCCGCCGGGCCCUCCGCGGGCCGUGGGCACCAGCUCGGGGCUGCUCGCAGGGAUUAGAGCGGGUGGGCGGGGGGCGGAGAGCCAUGCCGGGAUGCGGCGGCAUUUUACCUGAGCGGAGCUGAGGAUGGAUGAACCCGGUACCUGCGGUGUCUGCCCGGCCAGGCAGAGCCGGAGAGAGACAGGAGCUGGUUGUGUCUUCAUUGUAAUUCUGUGACCGGGAAGUUGAAUCCACUAAAGAAACAUGUACGACAGAAGAGGCCCAGAGAAGGCUAUUUGUGUGGUCGUUGUGACUGUACGAUUGCCCAGUCCCAAGGCAAAGAGCAAGAUUUUCAAUAAUGGGCUAGAAAAGAGGGUUAAAGGAUGGUUUAGAACAAAUUCAAGAGACAAUGAUCCAGUUCCCACUUGCAGAAGGACACAUGAGCCGAAUCCUGUGGGGCCUGGGGAGGAAAUGCAGUUUCAAUGACUGGUGGUCAGCCAGGACCUAGGAGCAGAGAUGGUCCUCCUGGCCUGCUGUCCGGAGCUCAGUAGCAGCCCAAGGCUGUCGCACUGCCCACGUCAUUGACCUCAUUGCAUCUCGUCAUGUGAGCAUCUUAUCGCCCGACAUCACAAGAAGCAUGUCACCUCCUCAAGGACAGCCCGAUCCUUUUCAUCAUGACCAGGUUCUUCAUGCUCGUUGG